ACUCGAGUAGCAAAGUAAUAGAAUGCAAAAGGCCUAAGCCCUUUCACCAGAGGUGUAAGCCCUCUCUCCAGUA
rnacentral:tRNA from 1 species